rnacentral:rRNA from 1 species
AUAAAACUGUGAACAAAAUUCUCUAAUUUUUUUUUUUUUUUUUUUGCAAUAAACGAAAGUUUGACUAAGUCAUGCAGCUAUUAGGGUUGGUAAAUCUCGUGCCAGCCACCGCAGUCAUACAAUUAACCCUAAUUAAUAAAACCCGGAGUAAAAAGUGUUUUAGAGACAUAAGAAAUAAGACUAAGCUUUAUCUAAGUUGUAGAAAACUCUAGAUAUAGUAUAAAUCAAAAACGAAAGUAAUCUUAACACAUCUGAGCACAUGAAAGCUAAGGCACAAACUGGGAUUAGAUACCCCACUAUGCUUAGCCAUAAACAUAAAAACUUACAUAACAAAAGGUUUCGCCUGAGAACUACUAGCAAUAGCUUAAAACUCAAAGAACUUGGCAGUGCUUUAUACCCGCCUAGAGGAGCCUGUUCUAUAAUCCAUAAACCCCGAUACAUCUCACCUCUCCUUGCUAAUUCAGCCUAUAUACCGCCAUCUUCAGCUAACCCAAUUAUGGAAACAAAGUAAGCGCAAGUAUACUACAUAAAAACAUUAGGUCAAGGUGUAGCCAAUAGAGUGGGAAGAAAUGGGCUACAUUUUCUUAUCGAAGCAUAACAAACGCAAGUCUCUAUGAAAUUUAGAGACCUAAGGAGGAUUUAGUAGUAAAUCAAGAAUAGAGAGCUUGGUUGAACUAAGCCAUGAAGCACGUAUACACCGCCCGUCACCCUCUUCAAGUACCCAAGAGUUUUAUAUAAACUAACAAAUAUAAGAGGAGACAAGUCAUAACAAGGUAAGCAUACUGAAAAGUGUGCUUGGAAACAAAGUGUA